UGACUGCGUACCUUUUGUAUAAUGGGUCAGCGACUUAUAUUCUGUAGCAAGGUUAACCGAAUAGGGGAGCCGGAGGGAAACCGAGUCUUAACCGGGCGUUAAGUUGCAGGGUAUAGACCCGAAACCCGGUGAUCUAGCCAUGGGCAGGUUGAAGGUUGGGUAACACUAACUGGAGGACCGAACCGACUAAUGUUGAAAAAUUAGCGGAUGACCUGUGGCUGGGGGUGAAAGGCCAAUCAAACCGGGAGAUAGCUGGUUCUCCCCGAAAGCUAUUUAGGUAGCGCCUCGUGAAUUCAUCUCCGGGGGUAGAGCACUGUUUCGGCUAGGGGGCCAUCCCGGCUUACCAACCCGAUGCAAACUGCGAAUACCGGAGAAUGUUAUCACGGGAGACACACGGCGGGUGCUAACGUCCGUCGUGAAGAGGGAAACAACCCAGACCGCCAGCUAAGGUCCCAAAGUCAUGGUUAAGUGGGAAACGAUGUGGGAAGGCCCAGACAGCCAGGAUGUUGGCUUAGAAGCAGCCAUCAUUUAAAGAAAGCGUAAUAGCUCACUGGUCGAGUCGGCCUGCGCGGAAGAUGUAACGGGGCUAAACCAUGCACCGAAGCUGCGGCAGCGACACUGUGUGUUGUUGGGUAGGGGAGCGUUCUGUAAGCCUGUGAAGGUGUGUCGUGAGGCAUGCUGGAGGUAUCAGAAGUGCGAAUGCUGACAUAAGUAACGAUAAAGCGGGUGAAAAGCCCGCUCGCCGGAAGACCAAGGGUUCCUGUCCAACGUUAAUCGGGGCAGGGUGAGUCGACCCCUAAGGCGAGGCCGAAAGGCGUAGUCGAUGGGAAACGGGUUAAUAUUCCCGUACUUGGUGUUACUGCGAAGGGGGGACGGAGAAGGCUAUGUUGGCCGGGCGACGGUUGUCCCGGUUUAAGCGUGUAGGUGUGUGUUCCAGGUAAAUCCGGUUCACUUUAACACUGAGGCGUGACGACGAGGCACUACGGUGCUGAAGCAACAAAUGCCCUGCUUCCAGGAAAAGCCUCUAAGCAUCAGGUAACAUCAAAUCGUACCCCAAACCGACACAGGUGGUCAGGUAGAGAAUACCAAGGCGCUUGAGAGAACUCGGGUGAAGGAACUAGGCAAAAUGGUGCCGUAACUUCGGGAGAAGGCACGCUGACACGUAGGUGAAGUGAUUUACUCAUGGAGCUGAAGUCAGUCGAAGAUACCAGCUGGCUGCAACUGUUUAUUAAAAACACAGCACUGUGCAAACACGAAAGUGGACGUAUACGGUGUGACGCCUGCCCGGUGCCGGAAGGUUAAUUGAUGGGGUCAGCGCAAGCGAAGCUCCUGAUCGAAGCCCCGGUAAACGGCGGCCGUAACUAUAACGGUCCUAAGGUAGCGAAAUUCCUUGUCGGGUAAGUUCCGACCUGCACGAAUGGCGUAAUGAUGGCCAGGCUGUCUCCACCCGAGACUCAGUGAAAUUGAACUCGCUGUGAAGAUGCAGUGUACCCGCGGCAAGACGGAAAGACCCCGUGAACCUUUACUAUAGCUUGACACUGAACAUUGAGCCUUGAUGUGUAGGAUAGGUGGGAGGCUUUGAAGUGUGGACGCCAGUCUGCAUGGAGCCGACCUUGAAAUACCACCCUUUAAUGUUUGAUGUUCUAACGUGGACCCGUUACCCGGGUUGCGGACAGUGUCUGGUGGGUAGUUUGACUGGGGCGGUCUCCUCCUAAAGAGUAACGGAGGAGCACGAAGGUUGGCUAAUCCUGGUCGGACAUCAGGAGGUUAGUGCAAUGGCAUAAGCCAGCUUGACUGCGAGCGUGACGGCGCGAGCAGGUGCGAAAGCAGGUCAUAGUGAUCCGGUGGUUCUGAAUGGAAGGGCCAUCGCUCAACGGAUAAAAGGUACUCCGGGGAUAACAGGCUGAUACCGCCCAAGAGUUCAUAUCGACGGCGGUGUUUGGCACCUCGAUGUCGGCUCAUCACAUCCUGGGGCUGAAGUAGGUCCCAAGGGUAUGGCUGUUCGCCAUUUAAAGUGGUACGCGAGCUGGGUUUAGAACGUCGUGAGACAGUUCGGUCCCUAUCUGCCGUGGGCGCUGGAGAACUGAGGGGGGCUGCUCCUAGUACGAGAGGACCGGAGUGGACGCAUCACUGGUGUUCGGGUUGUCAUGCCAAUGGCACUGCCCGGUAGCUAAAUGCGGAAGAGAUAAGUGCUGAAAGCAUCUAAGCACGAAACUUGCCCCGAGAUGAGUUCUCCCUGAGACUUAGAGUCUCCUGAAGGAACGUUGAAGACGACGACGUUGAUAGGCCGGGUGUGUAAGCGCAGCGAUGCGUUGAGCUAACCGGUACUAAUGAACCGUGAGGCUUAACCUU
rnacentral:rRNA from 3 species